GGGAAGGUGGCUCAGUGGUAGAGUGCUUGCCUUGCAUGCAUGAGGCCCUGGGUUCAAGUCCUCAAUACUA
rnacentral:tRNA from 1 species